rnacentral:rRNA from 1 species
UACGGAGGGGGCUAGCGUUGUUCGGAAUUACUGGGCGUAAAGCGCACGUAGGCGGCUUUGUAAGUUAGAGGUGAAAGCCCAGGGCUUAACCCUGGAAUUGCCUUUAAGACUGCAUCGCUAGAAUCGUGGAGAGGUGAGUGGAAUUCCGAGUGUAGAGGUGAAAUUCGUAGAUAUUCGGAAGAAACACCAGUGGCGAAGGCGACUCACUGGACACGUAUUGACGCUGAGGUGCGAAAGCUAGGGAGCAAACAGG